UUGGCUUUUGUGUUCUGGUUAAGCUAAGGAGGAUAUGGGGGACUCGGAUGAUGAUGAUUAUGUGGAUAUAGGAAGGCCUGAUCUAGUAGGCCUUCUUCCCGAUGAGAUUUCGACACGUCUGAAGGAUGAACUCUUUAGCACCAUACAACCAGAACAUCUAGAACUGAUGAUGGGAAGAUUAUCAUGUUGUUUUGGCAGCAGCAAGCGAGGAAAAACAGCUUUACAGAGAGCUUGUGGAACUCGAGUUAUGGAAUGAGCUUUCUGGUCCUAUUCGAAACCAAAAGAGGCACAUCCUGUGUUGUUCCUCUGUCCCUCAACUCAUACGUGUCUCCAGAUUGAUUUGCGUGGACAAGACCCAGCUGCUAAAGUCGGUCAUACCUGCGACGCCUUUCAGUUCAUGUUAGACCACGGAGGAGUGCCUAAAGAAAGAGUGCUUGUGUAUGACUGCAAUCAACACCCUCCAGCUGAUCCAGAACCUCACAUCACCAUCAACUCUUUUGCCACCUUAGAAGAAGCACUGGUCCAGCUCCGCACACAGCCAAUCGGGGCUGAGUUCUCCCAACUCUCGGUGAGGAUGACAUUUACUAUGGACCUACAAAGGCAAAUUCUUAUUUCCUCGGUUAUCAUUGUUGACAUACAGAUUGUCGACAAUGGGGAAGUUAUUGCUAUCUGCAAAUCGAGCAACGGUACGAAUGUCAGGGAGUAAUGGAUACUUCCGUGUCUCUUUAGCUACGCUUCACAUGGUCAUUUCCAUCGCUGAUGAGGAGACUGCAGAGAUUGUGAAGGUGAUGACGGUGACAGUGACGGUGAAGAUGAAGAUGAGUCUGAAGCUGAACCCACACGCAAGAGGAGGAUUACACCACCGAAGCGUCAGAACUUAAGAAGAAGAAGAAGAAGCCCGUGCCAUGACCAUAGAGAUAAGAAGAAGCAGAGAAGUGGCUGAGAAUAAGAAACUAAUGGAUUUUGGAUCCGUGUGAGAGAGUGAGAGCUUCUUUUUUGUUUUCCCUUUAACCCCUUAAAGCAUCUGUUAUCUAUAGUAAAGGGAAGAAACUAAUGUCUUUUUUUGUCUCCUCUUAACUCAUCUCUCCUCGGUUAGGUAUUUUUGCUGGUUAGGUCUUGUUUGAAAACUUGUCAGGAUUCUUAUGUGUCUUGAGUCAUGCGAUUCUGCAAUAUGGCUUCAUUAUUGACACU